UACCUUUUUUGUGUCCACCACUUGCCAACCAGGACAGAAUGGUGGCACUCAGAGGGUACCUCCUCUCCUUCAGGGGGCUUUCCUCCACAGUCCCCACUAGCCUGUGUAACCCCCCCAAAACUGGUGUGGACAUUGAGGUUAACAUCUCAAGAAUUAGCUUUUGCCUGGGAACUAAGGAGAGGAACCUGUCUGAGGUGGCAGUUACUCUCAAGCAGGGCUGAACUUGAGACCUGGUGGGGCACUGCUGUGUUUGGGAGAGUGCAGUGACCUCCCUCCAAGCUUCACUGGCUGUCCCCUCUCCUCCGCCACCACCCCCCACACACACACAUACUUGGACUCCUGGCAAGUGCAGUGGGGUGCCAGGCACCAUUAUAAUCUCUGCCUGCAUUAUAGAGGGCAACUUCAAGAGUGACCUCUCUGCCUGUGCUCGAGUACCACUCCUAGGACACCCCAAGGGGUGGGGAACCUCAUCAUUGGUGGGAGAUCAGUGGUCCAGGAGGUGGCGCAGUGGAUAAAACAUUGGAUUAGCAACCAUUGUUGGGAGAUCAACCUUUCCACCAUGCUCCCCAGGACCACCCUUCCUGGGGCAUCAAGCUCUGUUCUCUCUCAUUUUUAAAAAAAUAUUUAUUUAUUCC